UUAAUACACUUACUUUUUACUUCUUAAUUGAGAGGCGAUCUUGGAGGCAACUUUUUGAGUCUAUCGGAGGCGGCAGAGGUGUGUGGAUUGGCCCCCUCCGACCACCUCCUCCUCCGCCGCCUCAGUUCAGCGUCGCCUUCGAUGCACUCCACGCCUGGAUGGCCACCUUUUCAGACGACUUUCAAAGGCGUCUUCUCCGACCCAUCGAUUUCAUGGGCAUUUACCCGAUCUACCGAUCUGCCGAGCGCCAUCAGCCGAUCUGCAGCAGAUCUGCAACAGGUGCCUCUCCUCCGGCUCCGGCUCCGGCUCCAUAGCCGAUCUGCAGCAGGUGCCUCUCCAUGGCCGAUCUGCGCGUCAAAAUUUUCUCCGAUGGAGAAGGAGAUUUUUGAGCGAGAUCGUUGACCCACCAACCUUCCGCUUCCCACCCAGCAACGGCGACCCCGUCGGCCGUUGCCGUUCCCAUCGAAUCCACCCCCACCGGCCACCGAGACAGUCGCCUCCGCCGCCAACAGUCUCCACCGCCGAGCUAUUGAAUACUCUCUCCAUCGAGACCCACCCACCUUCAGCGUUCAGCGAGAUCGUUGACCCACCCAGUUCGAAGGAGCUGCUGUGAGAUCUGGGCCGCCGUCGGCCUCGAUCGCCCGCCCCGCCUCCUUCAGCCUUUUCCGCCGGCAAAGUGGUGGUGGCGAUACGCCUCGCUCACCGCUUUAACCCCAUCUUUAACCGCUUCUCUGGCGACUUCCACGCCGCGGUUUCUCUCGUGUUCUCAGGUUUAACAGCUUUCCCGGUCCGAAGCUGGGUUGAAGUUGGUUUUCCGAUUUUCUCCGGCAAUAGGAGUGGCUGUCGGUUUCCACAAACAUUUGUCCGGUGACGGCACUCCUCCCAACAAAGGCAGUCAAUGCUCCUUUGUUCAAAGCAUGCUUUUCUGUUUUUCUUCUUGGGGGUUGCGCUCUUUUUGACUAACGCACUAUCCGCUCAAGAGUGGGCGCCAGAGUUGAACAAGUGCGGUGGCUCCUUUUUUUAAAAAAAAAAACGAUCUCUUUUCGAGUUUCGUGCCCUUAGUCUGCGUUUUGUGCUCUCAAGGGAUUUUUAUCUUUUUCUUUUAUAAUAAACCUCAAUUUAAUAAUAUGAAAUGCUAAUAUUACAUUUUAAAAUAAAUGUCAUACGGAGACUCAUUUAUUGACACUUUCGAUUAACUUAAUACCCGUUCUUUGAAUGUGCCUUGGCGUUUUAAGGCGGCGUGGAAUAGGAUUUUAAAGAUGUUAGAUGCUUUCUCGCUGCAGGUUUCUCACAUCUUUAGAGAAGGAAACAAGGCGGCAGAUAUUAUGGCUAACCAACAACGUUCAGAAGGGUGGUGGCCGCACGAGAUUGAGGAGAUUAGGGCUGCGGUUCGCCUUGACAUGGCUUCGCAUAGCCAUCUGCGUAAGAAACGAUAGUUGGGACUGAUGGG
rnacentral:lncRNA from 1 species